rnacentral:tRNA from 1 species
GCCUAGUUAGCUUAAUUGGUAGAGAGAGCGUCUGCCUUGUAAGCGCUAGCCCGCGGGUUCGAUUCCCGCCCGGGGCG